rnacentral:lncRNA from 15 species
AUUACAGUACAGCUCAGUCAAGUUCAAUUGUGACAGUGUGACAUCAGGAUUUUAAUCAUGUUUAUUCUUCACAUAAUAAUCAGACUGUAGUAAAUAUUUAUUUUUACAAACAUGAAACUGACAGGUCCAAAACCAUCUUCUUUUAUUGUAGAUAUUGUGGAAAGAGAAUCAGGGAUGAUCCAGAGGCCAACAGUCACUAAGACCACAGGUAGUUUGACCUCUACUCAAACAACUCUUAAAAAUCAAGCAUCUGAUGAUGAAAUAACAGGUAAACCUAAUUCUUUUUUAAAUUUCACUUUGAAUAGUGCAUCAAAAUAC